CUAGCCCUACCUCGUCUCCCGUCUCCAGUCGCAGCCGCCGCCACACCUGCCGACCCCUGCGCAGCACACCCACCCCUGCGCUCGGCCACAGCGGCGGCGGCGGCGGCCGCGGUCCGGCUCCAGCGCGCCGGCGGCCGCGACGGAGGCCCCGGAGGCGGUCGUCGGGGCGGGCGGCGCGAGGUGGGAGCCGAUGGGCACGCGGGAGUACUACGACUACCGGCGGGCCAUCUACGGCGACAUCACGCACAAGGCCAUCCUCGUCGACGCCGCCGGCACCCUCCUCGCCCCCACCGAGCCCAUGGCCCAGGUGUACAGAACAGUAGGCGAUAAGUAUGGGGUGAAGUACUCGGAGGAUGAUAUCUUGAUGAGGACCUCGAGGCCUCGGAGAGCCCCUCCGAACAAGACGCUCACGGGAGCUCUGCCUUGAUGGGGAAAACAGCGGAGUUGGUGCAGUGGCGAAUGUGGGCGGGGUCGGCCGUGGAGGGAGACUUGCUGGUCGGAGCAGCAGGAGCAAGAAGAUUGAGGCGGUUCAGGGCAAGACAAGAACAUUAGUUGGAUCCAAAGUAUUGAGAUUGCAGAGGACUCAACAAAGGGUCUGCACUUAUUCUAUAAAUUCAGUAUCAGUUGAUGCAUGAUGAUGAUCAUCCACCGAGCAGCACAUCAUCUUGGAAAAGCAGAUGCGAAUUUCUGCUAGGGAUAAGCUGGUCAAUGCAGGAAAAUCUAAAGAAAGCGACUAAAAUCAACAUUUGAAGUUCAUCGAAAAAUGAAGAGGAUCAUGCCUUUCUGUUGGAAUUGCUUUUCUGGUUUAAGCAAUCAUUCAGAUCACCCAUGCCUCCACUACGCCACCUGCUGUUGGAUGGCACUGGCCGUCCAAGCAUGUGGAACUGGAAGGACUGUCCGUCAUGGCGGCACAGCUCAUCUCAGAGGAGAAAAGACCAAGGUCCUGCAGGCAAUGAGUUACUAUAUAUGAUAUCAUAUUCCAAAUACAAUUAUUGAACUCAUCAGUUCAGCAGAUCCUACAUAAAAGGUGAAGUGAACAAACAGCAUGCAUUUGCUUUGGUUUAUGGUUUUUUACAGCAUCACUGAGUUUGCCAAAAGAAAUUUGCCCAAAACAAACAUCACGACACUCUGUUUUAGCCUAAACAGAAGUGGCUUUAGUUUAUGACAUCUCUGAAUUUUGAGAAUAGUAGGACAGGAUCUGCAAUUGCACUUUGCAAGUUUUACUGAUUUCUUGUGCAAGAUCCUAAAACAGUUUACCAUUUGAUCCCUAGAUUUUCUUAUAUUGUUGAAGUUUCUAUAAAUAUACAAUAUGUUUGGGGUUUAUCUGUGUGCCUAGCAUUGUGCAACAGUUAUAUUUUUCUUCAAGGACGGUGAAAGAGCUAUAACUUAUACCGAUCUCCGAUUCAAGUUCUUUUUUUGUAUGGAGGGCACUGUAACUAUCUCAUGGUCAGAACAUUCAUCUUGUUAGUAAUUUAGUCUAUAUUAUUUAGUUUCAAAAGAAAAUUUCUCUUCAGUGAGAAGUUUCCAUUUCUCUUGAGUGAGAAAUUUCCGGAGGGCGGCGGUGUUGAAGGGACCCGCGGGCGCUGGCCAAGAUCCCGAUCGAUGGACGCGCCUGGUCGCUGGAGCCAGAUCACGCGUCGGCUUGGGGACACCUCGGGGAUGUCCACAACAGUGCGGGAUGGGGACCGAGCGUCGGGGCAUGUCGCGGGUUCCGGUUGAGGGCUUGAUCAUAUAACUGAAUUAUUAUUGCUUGCUUUCUGACAUUGUGACAUUGAACACUAGAGCUGAAUUGACUCUCUUCACAAGAUUCACUUUGAUACAGCCAUUUUCUUAAUGACAGUCUUCAUGUGAAGGUUUCAAGUACUACAUAUAGGAGGAGGCAGGAGUGGCUGCAAUCUUGCUACGAAAUGACACUUACGGAGCUUCUUUACCUAACAUGGCCAAGAAGUCCGCAAAAUCCAGUGAGCGUAGAGUAUGCCGGUUGGAUACAUAUCUGCAGAGUGCAUGUAGUGUGUGUGUCAGAUAUACAGUGGGAAAACACCACAAUGCAAGUGUCAGAUCCUGUUCUUGAUGCAAUUUUGCGACUCUAUUCUGGACUGUAAGCAAUUGGUUGAAGUUCAGCUGAAACUCAGAUCAGUCUUGUGGCUCUUCUGUACCUAUAUGCCUAGAUUAUUUGCUAAUGGUAUAUGAACGAUAUCUUCCUGUAUAGGAUGAUCAAUUGCCAGGAAUAGAAAGACUAUGGUUAUGAUUUUUA